AGUCGGCAGCUCACUAUCCUUCAUCAGUCCCCAGGUUUGACCGUUUCUCAAACCGACCCUUCCCAUUUAUGCUGCAUCCGCGCCCAGAAUCUGAAAUUGAUCGUCCUGCCACACCGCCUCAUCGCGGUAUAAGGUCGUCCCAUCCUCAAUGGCCGGUGCGCAGACUCAAUUGCGACUUUGAGGCUGUCAGCGGCCACCCGGCAACGUUCCAGAGAACAGGAUUCUGGGUUUCUCAAAGCUGUAAUGGGAGAGCCACUCCAGAGGUGUUAAAGCUCCAGCACUUCCAGCCUGCCUCAUGGGAAGGUCUUAGGCUGAGUCUAUAGGUGCCUGCAGUAAGAAGCCAGCGGUCUGCAUAUGAUUGUCCAGGGGUAGUGGCUGGGUACCAACAGCAUUCACUACAGGCCUGCCUUGGAUACCGCCUAACGCAGUGCUCUGCAUACCACAGGGGCUGGAAACCUAACAAUUUCACUUCCUAGACUACUUGCUAAAAGUCACCUAAAAA